rnacentral:rRNA from 1 species
UACAUGGCGUACUGCUCAGUAACACGUGGACAACCUGCCCUUAGGACGGGGAUAAACCCGGGAAACUGGGUAUAAUACCCGAUAGGUCUCGAGUGCUGGAAUGCAUCGAGAUCUAAAGCUCCGGCGCCUAAGGAUGGGUCUGCGGCCUAUCAGGUAGUAGUGGGUGUAGUGUACCUACUAGCCUACGACGGGUACGGGUUGUGAGAGCAAGAGCCCGGAGAUGGAUUCUGAGACACGAAUCCAGGCCCUACGGGGUGCAGCAGGCGCGAAAACUUUACAAUGCUGGCAACAGCGAUAAGGGAACCUCGAGUGCCAGGUUACAAAUCUGGCUGUCGUAAUGCCUAAAAAGCAUUGCAUAGCAAGGGCCGGGCAAGACCGCUGCCAGCCGCCGCGGUAACACCGGCGGCUCGAGUGGUAACCGUUAUUAUUGGGUCUAAAGGGUCUGUAGCCGGCCGGAUAAGUCUCUUGAGAAAUCUGGCAGCUUAACUGUCAGGCUUUCAGGAGAUACUGUCUGGCUCGAGGCCGGGAGAGGUGAGAGGUACUUCAGGGGUAGGGGGUGAAAUCUUGUAAUCCUUGAAGGACCACCAGUGGCGAAGGCGUCUCACCAGAACGGACCUGACGGCAAGGGACGAAAGCUAGGGGCACGAACCGGAUUAGAUACCCGGGUAGUCCUAGCCGUAAACGAUACUCGCUAGGUGUCGGCCACGGUGCGACCGUUGUCGGUGCCGUAGGGAAGCCGUGAAGCGAGCCACCUGGGAAGUACGGCCGCAAGGCUGAAACUUAA